UACGUAGGGUGCGAGCGUUAAUCGGAAUUACUGGGCGUAAAGCGUGCGUAGGCGGCUAUGUAAGACAGAUGUGAAAUCCCUGGGCUCAACCUAGGAACUGCAUUUGUGACUGCAUUGCUAGAGUGUGGUAGAGGGAGAUGGAAUUCCGCAUGUAGCAGUGAAAUGCGUAGAUAUGCGGAGGAACACCAAUGGCGAAGGCAAUCUCCUGGACCUGCACUGACGCUCAUGCACGAAAGCGUGGGGAGCAAACAGG
rnacentral:rRNA from 1 species